rnacentral:rRNA from 1 species
GAUGAACGCUAGCGGGAGGCCUAAUACAUGCAAGUCGAACGGUAAGGUCCCUUCGGGGAUACACGAGUGGCGGACGGGUGCGUAACGCGUACGAAACAUACCUUCAACAGGGAGAUACCUCCGGGAAACUGGAAAUAAUACCCCAUAGUAUUGAGAUAUCGCAUGAUAUUUCAAUUAAAGCUUUGGCGGUUGAAGAUUGUCGUGCGUCUGAUUAGCUAGUUGGUGAGGUAACGGCUCACCAAGGCGACGAUCAGUAGCUGGUCUGAGAGGACGACCAGCCACACUGGAACUGAGACACGGUCCAGACUCCUACGGGAGGCAGCAGUGGGGAAUUUUGGACAAUGGGCGCAAGCCUGAUCCAGCAAUGCCGCGUGCAGGAUGAAGGCCUC